GAUGAAGAACGCAGCGAAAUGCGAUAAGUAAUGUGAAUUGCAGAAUUCAGUGAAUCAUCGAACCUUUGAACGCACCUUGCGCCCUUUGGACAUUCCGAAGGGCAUGCCUGUUUGAGUAUCAUGAACACCUCAACUCUCACGGCUUGUCCGUGAUGAGCUUGGACUUUGGGGGUCUUGCCGGCCUGUGGUCGGCUCCUCUCAAAUGGAUCAGCUUGCCAGUGUUUGGUGGCAUCACAGGUGUGAUAACUAUCUGCGCUUGUGGUUUUCCAUCAGAUAACCUUCAGUGAUAUGGAGGUUCGCUGGAGCUCACAAAUGUCUCUCCUUAGUGAGGACAGCUCUUUGAACGUUUGAUCUCAAAUCAGGUAGGACUACCCGCUGAACUUAAGCAUAUCAAUAAGCGGAGGA
rnacentral:misc_RNA from 1 species